UACGUAGGGUGCGAGCGUUGUCCGGAAUUACUGGGCGUAAAGAGCUCGUAGGUGGUUUGUCGCGUUGUUCGUGAAAACUCACAGCUUAACUGUGGGCGUGCGGGCGAUACGGGCAGACUGGAGUACUGCAGGGGAGACUGGAAUUCCUGGUGUAGCGGUGGAAUGCGCAGAUAUCAGGAGGAACCCCGGUGGCGAAGGCGGGUCUCUGGGCAGUAACUGACGCUGAGGAGCGAAAGCGUGGGGAGCGAACAGG
rnacentral:rRNA from 1 species